rnacentral:rRNA from 1 species
GAUGAACGCUGGCGGCGUGCCUAAUACAUGCAAGUCGAGCGAACGGACGAGAAGCUUGCUUUUCUGAUGUUAGCGGCGGACGGGUGAGUAACACGUGGAUAACCUACCUAUAAGACUGGGAUAACUUCGGGAAACCGGAGCUAAUACCGGAUAAUAUUUUGAACCGCAUGGUUCAAAAGUGAAAGACGGUCUUGCUGUUACGGAGAGAUGGAUCCGCGCUGCAUUAGCUAGUUGGUAAGGUAACGGCUUACCAAGGCAACGAUGCAUAGCCGACCUGAGAGGGUGAUCGGCCACACUGGCACUGAGACACGGUCCCGACUCCUACGGGAGGCAGCAGUAGGGAAUCUUCCGCAAUGGGCGAAAGCCUGACGGAGCAACGCCGCGUGAGUGAUGAAGGUCUUCGGAUCGUAAAACUCUGUUAUUAGGGAAGAACAUAUGUGUAAGUAACUGUGCACAUCUUGACGGUACCUAAUCAGAAAGCCACGGCUAACUACGUG